rnacentral:tRNA from 1 species
GGGCCGUUAGCUCAGUUGGUAGAGCAGCUGACUCUUAAUCAGCGGGUCACAGGUUCGAUCCCUGUACGGCCUACCA